ACUUGAAGCUAUCUAUACAUAAGAGUGACAUGACACGGCCAUGAACACAUGACAAUGCCAACCCUAACCAUAAGUUGUAAUGACAAAUCUGAAUAACACUAGAAGAAGCAUUUAUAACUUGUUUAUAAUGUUUAUGACACGUUCAUGACAGUCUCAUGUCACUCUUAUGUGUAUACCUUGAAGUAAAGUGUAACCGAAAAAUGUGCUUUCAGU